CUCUCACCCUUACGCAGCACUAGCUCCCUCCCCACUCUCCCACAUUAUUCUUCUCUUUCCCAUCAAUGGAAAUCACAUGCACCAUUAAAGAGCCCCUAAAAGGCUAAUCUAACUAGCCAACUCAUUCCUCCACACUUUAAGCUCACAAGCACAUGCACACCUCUCUCUCAUCUCCCUCCCUCUCUUAUUCUUCUUUAUUUUCAGCAGCCCUCCUCCUCCUCCUCACUCCACCACACUUCUUUUUCUUGUUCCACCAAAUAUAGUAAGAACUAAGGUUUCUUAAAGUGUUCAUCUUCAAGCUCAAGCUCCAAGCAUACUACGCAUCAUCUUCUACUCCACCUCCAUUGAUCUUGUUGGUUCGAGUGACGGCCGGCGUUAGUACGACUCUGAGCGUUACGUCAUCGACCCCUGAGACAGGUCUGGCUUGGCGCGAGGAUGGGUGAAAGCUGUUGGAAUUGUCAGUUGGCUGUGUCUUUCCUAUGUCUCAUAUUUAUCCUUAUAAGCUUUGACUCUAUAAGAAUUUGAACUCCCUGCUAUAUGUCUUCACACAUAUAGUAACGCAUCUCGCUGCAUAACUCUGAUGAAACUCUUUAUUUAAUUUGCUUAUGCCUGUAAUAUCCCAUAAGGGGAAAUACUUCUCAAACCCUUGCUAAGUUCCAACUGCUUAUUAUGUUUUACCCAAGCGAGUAAUUAUUUUGGUCUUAAAAUCUUUCUUGGAAAUGAGUAAAGUUUGC